CCCACCUCCAUGCCAUUUGAUUCAAUCUCUGCGGCAUCAUCAAUCAUUCAACUGCAAUCUCCUUCCCUAACCAAUUGUUUGGCGAAAUGUCCGUUUCAGAUGGCCGGCACCGCACCGGACCGCAAGAGGAAGAACAAAAUCCUACACGAGGCCAUCAAGAUAAAGUCAACGACGGAGUCAGACACAGAUGAGUCUUACACGAGCACCAGCCGUGGCAGCGAGAAGAGCAAUGUGACACACAGCUUCACUCCGUCGACGCCGCCGCCGACCGCCGCCAGCCUCAGCAGCGCCAAGAGAAGGAAGGGCAUCCCCC
rnacentral:lncRNA from 1 species